rnacentral:lncRNA from 1 species
UUCGGUUACCUCGUGUUCCUAGUCAUCUACAAGUGGCUGUGUGUCUGGGCUGCCAGGGCCGCCUCGGCCCCCAGCAUCCUCAUCCACUUCAUCAACAUGUUCCUCUUCUCCCACAGCCCCAGCAACAGGCUGCUCUACCCCCGGCAGGUGGGCUGCGGCUGGUGGGGGCCGGGCUCACACGGCCUCAUGGGGACCCCGCGGUCACAGGGCCACUGGGAGCUGCAAGAUCCUCGUCCGAGAAACGGGGAUGCAGGCCCCGGGCCGUGCAGACAGGGCCGUCAGAGGUGAUGGUGUGCAUCUUUAGCAGGUGGCACAACUGGCACUGGGAACCGGGGGUCCCUUCCCUCAGGAGUCCUUAUGGAGGCAGACCCUCACCCAGUGAGGGCACGGAGCCCCCGGGGGCCCUGGAGGGAGGAGCGACCGCAGGCUCUCUGGGCCCCGUGACUGCUGUGACUCAGGUUCCUUUGCAGGUGUGCACAGCAGGGACGCCCUGACUCUCGCCCUCUCCCUGGCAGGAGGUGGUCCAGGCCACGCUGGUGGUCCUGGCCUUGGCCAUGGUGCCCAUCCUGCUGCUUGGCACACCCCUGCACCUGCUGCACCGCCACCGCCGCCGCCUGCGGAGGAGGCCCGCUGACCGACAGGAGGAAAACAAGGCCGGGUUGCUGGACCUGCCUGACGCAUCUGUGAAUGGCUGGAGCUCCGAUGAGGAAAAGGCAGGGGGCCUGGAUGAUGAAGAGGAGGCCGAGCUCGUCCCCUCCGAGGUGCUCAUGCACCAGGCCAUCCACACCAUCGAGUUCUGCCUGGGCUGCGUCUCCAACACCGCCUCCUAC